ACUGGAUGUGUGUCAUAGUCAUGACGUGUGAUCAACAUGACUAGAUAUCACAUUCAGUGG
rnacentral:pre_miRNA from 1 species